rnacentral:misc_RNA from 1 species
GUGAAUCAUCGAAUUUUUGAACGCACAUUGCGCUUUCUGGUAUUCCGGGGAGUAUGCCUGUUUGAGGGUCAGUAUUAAUCAAAAAUCGGUUUAGUUACAAAUUGUGAUGUCUCCGGAGUUUGGGCUAUCUUAACACUUUUUGUUAAGCGGCUUAAAUUUGACCUUUUUUGCGCAUUUUAAGACGUACAUUAUUUUUUUAUAUUCGUCUAUUCUUUAUGCC